rnacentral:tRNA from 1 species
GUCAGGAUGGCCGAGUGGUCGAAGGCGCUACGUUCAGGUCGUAGUCCACUCUGUGGGCGUGGGUUCGAAUCCCACUUCUGACA